rnacentral:rRNA from 1 species
UACGUAGGGUGCAAGCGUUGUCCGGAAUUAUUGGGCGUAAAGAGCUCGUAGGCGGUUUGUUGCGUCGGCUGUGAAAUCCCGAGGCUCAACCUGGGAAUGGCAGUGGAAACUGGCGGGCUUGAGUGUGGCAGAGGGGGGUGGAAUUCCGCGUGUAGCAGUGAAAUGCGUAGAGAUGCGGAGGAACACCGAUGGCGAAGGCAGCCCCCUGGGCUGACACUGACGCUGAGGCACGAAAGCGUGGGGAGCAAACAGG